rnacentral:rRNA from 1 species
UACGAAUGGGGCAAGCGUUGUUCGGAAUUAUUGGGCGUAAAGGGAGCGUAGGCGGUUCGGCAAGUCUGCUGUGAAAGUCCAGGGCUCAACCCUGGGAUGCCGGUGGAUACUGUCGGGCUAGAGUACGGAAGAGGCAAGUGGAAUUCCUGGUGUAGCGGUGGAAUGCGCAGAUAUCAGGAGGAACACCCAUAGCGAAGGCAGCUUGCUGGGACGUUACUGACGCUAAGGCGCGAAAGCGUGGGGAGCGAACAGG